UCAUAGUUUGCAGCUUUAUUGCAAAUCCUGUCAAACCAUCUUAAACAUUUUCUUACCAAAGUAAUAAAAUAUUUUUAUGUCCAUGUAUACAUUAUAAUCAGACACAGACGUGCGAACUAAAGCCUAACUAAGCACAACCAAUGGCAACCACAUUUAUUAUUAAUACCAAUAAGAAACCAUGAAUAAGCUAGCUAGGAAUCUAUCUUUUUGCCGAAAUUAAGUAAAUUAAUAUGGUGGCCAACUGCUAGAUAAAUAAUUCCAAGAUCCGUUCAAUUACUGAGUCAAGUUAAUUGAGGACGGCAGCUGGAUCGGUUGGAUUAUCCCCCCACAUCUCUAUCCUGAUCAUCUCAAUGAAGCAAAUCUGAGUUAAUACCUGCAAGUCAG
rnacentral:lncRNA from 1 species